CCGGCACACUGCCAAGAAAAGCUUCUAGUGAGAAAGUAACUGCCCGUACCGCAAACCGACACAGGUAGUUGAGGAGAGAAUCCUAAGGUGUGCGAGAGAACUCUCGUUAAGGAACUCGGCAAAAUGACCCCGUAACUUCGGGAGAAGGGGUGCUGACCGCAAGGUCAGCCGCAGUGAAUAGGCCCAAGCGACUGUUUAUCAAAAACACAGGUCUCUGCAAAAUCGAAAGAUGACGUAUAGGGGCUGACGCCUGCCCGGUGCUGGAAGGUUAAGAGGAGAGGUUAGCGCAAGCGAAGCUUUGAAUUGAAGCCCCAGUAAACGGCGGCCGUAACAAUAACGGUCCUAAGGUAGCGAAAUUCCUUGUCGGGUAAGUUCCGACCCGCACGAAAGGCGUAACGAUUUGGGCACUGUCUCAACGAGAGACUCGGUGAAAUUAUAGUACCAGUGAAGAUGCUGGUUACCCGCGACAGGACGGAAAGACCCCAUGGAGCUUUACUGCAGUUUGAUAUUGCGUGUUUGUAUCACAUGUACAGGAUAGGUAGGAGCCGAAGAUACCGGGACGCCAGUCUCGGAGGAGGCAACGGUGGGAUACUACCCUUGUGAUAUGACCACUCUAACCCGCUGCUCUUAGCGAGCAGGGAGACAGUGUCAGACGGGCAGUUUGACUGGGGCGGUCGCCUCCAAAAAUGUAACGGAGGCGCCCAAAGGUUCCCUCAGAAUGGUUGGAAAUCAUUCGUAGAGUGUAAAGGCAGAAGGGAGCUUGACUGCGAGACCUACAAGUCGAGCAGGGACGAAAGUCGGGCUUAGUGAUCCGGUGGUUCCGCAUGGAAGGGCCAUCGCUCAACGGAUAAAAGCUACCCUGGGGAUAACAGGCUUAUCUCCCCCAAGAGUUCACAUCGACGGGGAGGUUUGGCACCUCGAUGUCGGCUCAUCGCAUCCUGGGGCUGUAGUCGGUCCCAAGGGUUGGGCUGUUCGCCCAUUAAAGCGGUACGCGAGCUGGGUUCAGAACGUCGUGAGACAGUUCGGUCCCUAUCCGUCGCGGGCGUUGGAAAUUUGAGAGGAGCUGUCCUUAGUACGAGAGGACCGGGAUGGACACACCGCUGGUGUACCAGUUGUUCUGCCAAGAGCAUCGCUGGGUAGCUAUGUGUGGACGGGAUAAACGCUGAAAGCAUCUAAGCGUGAAGCCCCCCUCAAGAUGAGAUUUCCCAUCACUUUAAGUGAGUAAGACCCCUGAGGGAUGAUCAGGUAGAUAGGUUGGGAGUGGAAGUACAGCGAUGUAUGGAGCGGACCAAUACUAAUCGGUCGAGGACUUAACC
rnacentral:rRNA from 1 species